rfam:Oryza barthii chromosome 2, whole genome shotgun sequence.
AAUAAACCCUGAGUUUUCAUGUCCAACGUUAAACCGUUCGUCUUAUUUGAAAAAGUUAUGAAAAAAAAUUAAAAAGGCAAGUCACGCAUAAAGUAUUAAUUAUGUUUUAUUAUCUAACAACAAUAAAAAUACUAAUUAUAAAAAAUUCCAUUAAGACGGGCAGUCAAACGUUAAACACGGAAACCUAGAGUUUGUUUUUUU